rnacentral:rRNA from 1 species
AUUGAACGCUGGCGGCAUGCUUUACACAUGCAAGUCGAACGGUAACAGGGAGCUUGCUCCGCUGACGAGUGACGAACGGGUGAGUAAUGCGUCGGAACGUGCCGAGUAGUGGGGGAUAACGCAUCGAAAGGUGUGCUAAUACCGCAUACGAACUGAGGUUGAAAGUGGGGGACCUUCGGGCCUCACGCUAUUCGAGCGGCCGACGUCUGAUUAGCUAGUUGGUGAGGUAAAGGCUCACCAAGGCGACGAUCAGUAGUGGGUCUGAGAGGAUGAUCCGCCACACUGGGACUGAGACACGGCCCAGACUCCUACGGGAGGCAGCAGUGGGGAAUUUUGGACAAUGGGCGCAAGCCUGAUCCAGCCAUGCCGCGUGUCUGAAGAAGGCCUUCGGGUUGUAAAGGACUUUUGUCCGGGAGCAAAUGCUGGUGGCUAACAUCCACCGGAGCUGAGAGUACCGGAAGAAUAAGCACCGGCUAACUACGUGCCAGCCGCCGCGGUAACAC